rnacentral:rRNA from 1 species
CUCAUUAAAUCAGUUAUCGUUUAUUUGAUAGUACCUUACUACUUGGAUACCCGUGGUAAUUCUAGAGCUAAUACAUGCAACAAACCCCAACUUCGGAAGGGGUGUAUUUAUUAGAUAAAAAACCAAUGCCCUUCGGGGCUCCUUGGUGAUUCAUAAUAACUUAACGGAUCGCAUGGCCUUGCGCCGGCGACGGUUCAUUCAAAUUUCUGCCCUAUCAACUUUCGAUGGUAAGGUAUUGGCUUACCAUGGUUUCAACGGGUAACGGAUUUUUAGGGAAAGAUCCCGGAGAGGGAGCCUGAGAAACGGCUACCACAUCCAAGGAAGGCAGCAGGCGCGCAAAUUACCCAAUCCCGACACGGGGAGGUAGUGACAAUAAAUACUGAUACAGGGCUCUUUUGGGUCUUGUAAUCGGAAUGAGUACAAUUUAAAUACCUUAACGAGGAACAAUUGGAGGGCAAGUCUGGUGCCAGCAGCCGCGGUAAUUCCAGCUCCAAUAGCGUAUAUUAAAGUUGUUGCAGUUAAAAAGCUCGUAGUUGAACCUUGGGCCUGGCUGGCCGGUCCGCCUCACCGCGUGUACUGGUCCGGCCGGGCCUUUCCUUCUGGAGAACCGCAUGCCCUUCACUGGGUGUGUCGGGGAACCAGGACUUUUACUUUGAGAAAAUUAGAGUGUUCAAAGCAGGCCUUUGCUCGAAUACGUUAGCAUGGAAUAAUAGAAUAGGACGUGCGGUCCUAUUUUGUUGGUUUCUAGAACCGCCGUAAUGAUUAAUAGGGAUAGUCGGGGGCGUCAGUAUUCAAUUGUCAGAGGUGAAAUUCUUGGAUCAAUUGAAGACUAACUACUGCGAAAGCAUUCGCCAAGGAUGUUUUCAUUAAUCAGUGAACGAAAGUUAGGGGAUCGAAGACGAUCAGAUACCGUCGUAGUCUUAACCGUAAACUAUGCCGACUAGGGAUCGGGCGAUGUUUCUAUCUUGACUCGCUCGGCACCUUACGAGAA